rnacentral:lncRNA from 1 species
AACUUCAUCAAGUUUAAUUUUACAGGCAUUAACUCCUUCACCAAGGAACUCUUUUCCCAAAAGACUGCCUGACUGCUGACAAAUACCUUUUAUUUUGCAGUGAGGUAGAAGUAGUACUCUUUAGUUUCCUUUGGGUACCCUACGAACAAGCAUCUAACAGACUUCGAUCCAAGCUUAUCUGUCUUUAAAUGCUUGACAUAAGCGGGACACCCC